rnacentral:rRNA from 1 species
UGCAGUCGAGCGAUGGAUUAAGAGCUUGCUCUUAUGAAGUUAGCGGCGGACGGGUGAGUAACACGUGGGUAACCUGCCCAUAAGACUGGGAUAACUCCGGGAAACCGGGGCUAAUACCGGAUAACAUUUUGAACCGCAUGGUUCGAAAUUGAAAGGCGGCUUCGGCUGUCACUUAUGGAUGGACCCGCGUCGCAUUAGCUAGUUGGUGAGGUAACGGCUCACCAAGGCAACGAUGCGUAGCCGACCUGAGAGGGUGAUCGGCCACACUGGGACUGAGACACGGCCCAGACUCCUACGGGA